UUGAGGUUAAUUGGGUUUUAAGA
rnacentral:piRNA from 1 species